GUGCAGCAGGCGAGAAUACUCCGCAAUGCUCGAAAGAGUGACGGGGGAUUCCAAGUGCCUACGCUCAGCGUAGGCUGUUCAGAUGCCUAAAAAGCAUCUGGAGUAAGGGCUGGGUAAGACGGGUGCCAGCCGCCGCGGUAAUACCCGCAGCUCGAGUGGUAGUCGAUUUUAUUGGGCCUAAAGCGUCCCUAUCCGGUCUGGUAAAUGCUUGGGUAAAUCGUGGGGCUCAACCCUACGAAUUCCGGGUAGACUGCCAGACUUGGGACCGGUUGAGGAAGAGGGUACUUCAGGGGUAGGAGUGAAAUCCUGUAAUCCUUGAAGGACCACCAGUGGCGAAGGCGCUCCUCUAGGACGGGUCCGACGGUGAGGGACGAAAGCCAGGGGAGCAAACCGGAUUAGAUACCCGGGUAGU
rnacentral:rRNA from 1 species